rnacentral:rRNA from 1 species
GACAGAGGGUGCAAACGUUGUUCGGAAUUACUGGGCGUAAAGCGUGUGUAGGCGGCCAUGUAAGUCGGAUGUGAAAGCCUCAGGCUCAACCUGGGAAGUGCACUCGAUACUGCGUGGCUUGAGUAUCGGAGAGGUUGGUGGAAUUCUCGGUGUAGAGGUGAAAUUCGUAGAUAUCGAGAGGAACACCGGUGGCGAAGGCGGCCAACUGGACGAAUACUGACGCUGAGACACGAAAGCGUGGGGAGCAAACAGG